GUGCCGCCCCCCGCGCCGGGCCCGCUCGCCGCCCCGCCGCCGCCGUGCCCCGCCGGCCGGCUCCGUGCUGCCGGUUGGCCCGGCCCGGCCCCGGCCCGGCUGCGGGGUGGGGGCCGUGGCCGCCGCUCAACGCGCCAUGGCCGCGCCGGGGCCUCCCGCGGGGAGGAGGGAGCGGGAGCCGCGCCGCGCUCGUGACAAGCGCCGCGCUCCGCCAGGAACUGAGGUCCCCACCGCGGCUGGCGAAGCAGGAGCGUUGUGUUGAGAUGCCAACAAGGAUCAGAGCUUGUCUGGGCACCAAGGGAAGAAGUACCAGAAGAAAACCAUCUUCAUGAAGCAGAAUGGACAAGGCCCAAGUGCUCAAAAUAGUUCUUAGGGGAAGCAUUUAGUCCUUAAGUCAUCUCCUGGCAGAAGAAAUCGUCACCAACAUUUUGGACAAUGUAUGAACAGGACAGUAGCAGCCCACAGUCCUUCCCCUUUCCCACCAGAAUCAAAACAUACUUUUGCCCUAGUAAUUAAUAUCCGCCUUAAUGGCAUAACUUAGCUGACACCAGCAUCACAUGUAGAGCUCUGAGCACGUGAGGAGGAAACCACUGCUCAAGAAGUGCUUUGUCACAGCGACUGAUUCAUAACCCCUCCUGGUACAAACUCCAACUGCUCUCUGGCCAGCAGAGAUUUAAAAUGGUUAAAACCUCAGUGCGUGCCUCAAGGAAAAGUGCAUGUUUUUCAAGAGAAAGGCAUUACUGCUCCUUGAGACAAAUCCUGACUGCACAAAAGUGACACAGGAAUAUACUCCCCUCUUCCAAAACCUGUUCUGUUACAAGACACUAAAAGAAAGGGACUUUAAAAGAAGUUAUUUCUAACUAAAACUGUCAUGAGCCUUCCAGAGAUAUAAAUGCCUUCCAGCUCCAGAAAAAUAAAACCAUCUCCUAAUCUGGCUGGAAAUGGGGUGUUUUGAUGGGAGACACGAGGAGUGCCUCGUUUAUUCUUCCAGUGGACAAUGCUGUGGCCAAGUGCUGUUUUAUGUUGUACUCCAGUACUUUUCCAAGUCCUGCCUGAAGGAUUCGAUUCAACAGCCCAUCCCCACCAGUGGGGAAUACAGGAAUUUCUCAUGCCUGUUCUCAGGCCCCGAUUUCUACUAGUUAUGUUCAAAAUGGCAACGUUUAUGUUAAGGAAAUUCUACUGGAUUUGGAAAAGAAUCCAGAGAGGGAUUCAAGCGUGGAGCUGCUGAGCUCAGAAAUACAGACAGACCAAUCAAGCAACAUUAUGAUAAAGUGUUUAUUCAUUUUUUUAAAUAUCAAAUGUUUGUACACAUCAAUUUUGUUGAUAAACAGUCCCCCAAUAUUAAAAAAAAAAAAAAAAAAUCAAAAAAAGAAUCAAGUGUGUAUUACUUUGGGCAGAACCACAUCCCAUUCUCUGAUGCCACAACCACUCCUCCCGCCAGCCUCCUGCGAGGACUGCUGCAGUGUUCAGCCCAGAAGAGUAAAUGACACAAAUGCAACCAGCUUUAGGAUUCCUGAGUAUUGAUUCCCUCAAGUUCCUUAAGUGAGUCUCUUAAGCU